GAGUAAACCUAUUUCCUUUGGCCAAACAACUUCCUGCUGCAAAUGAGAACAUUGUCAUGCCUCUGAUCUCAGAACAGACUUUGGUAUCUGAAUUGUCACCUUCAGUGACAAGAAAAUCUGAUCCCAGUACAGCACCCAGCAGUAAACCUCAGAGAAAGAACAAAGAGCAGUCUCAUUUCACCUGAAUCGCAAGUGAGAACAUAACUUGCAAAAUACUUCAUUUCUCAAUUCCAUAUCUCUUUUCUUCUUCUUCUUUUUUUUAUUCUUAAAUGAUCUUUAUUGGCUAAACAUAUUUUAGUGGGGAAUUACUUGAACUUUAUUUCAUAGGUUACCAAUAACGGCACAGAUGGAAAUUUUAAAUACCCACGCACACUGAGAGCGAGCAGAAAGCGGGUUUUACUUCCUUUAUUGGAAAUCUAGCAGUUCUUCAGAAAUCAAGCAAACACUGAAUUAUGACUACACUUUCACAAUGGUGUUACCAUGUUUAAUCGCACUAACAGUUCUCAUUGUUUCACCCCUGAAGCGUUUGGAAGCAGUAGAGUUAAAAGAAGUCAGACUUGGAGAGACAGUGGCACUGAUGUGCAACCUGUCUGUUUACUCUGAGACCCACUGGCUGAGGAUGAGUGAGGGGCGGCUGAUGGCUCUGAUGGUCACAAGUCUGAAACACACUGGAAAACUGUCUGUUGUCUGGAAUUACAAUGAAACUCAUUUUGAAGGCUUUAUGGAGAAGCAGAUGACUGGACUGAAAAUUCUCCACGUCUCCACCAGCGAUCUCGCCACAUACUAUUGUUCAACGUCAUAUCAAAAACGCUUGGAUUUUGAUAAAGGAGUGCAACUAUAUACAAAUCAACAAAGUAAACAAAAACCAUCUGAUCAUAUGCAAGAUUUGUCAGGAGGAGUGAAACAAACAGAUUUAUCAGGAGGUUUUAGCGGAGCCUCUCUACAUUACCAAGUUUUUGCAGCAGUUUUGUGUUUUGGUCUACUGGUAAUGUUACUAGCGGUUUCUGUGGUGCAUAUUAAGACAAAAAACUAAACAAAACCCCAUCUACAACCAUAAAAGUAUGUCAGUGCCUUGGGUAUUAACUUUUUUUGUUAUUAUUUAUUUUCAUAAAACUAACAUUGCCCUGUCAUAUUGUGGUAGGACAGAU